rnacentral:rRNA from 1 species
UACGAAGGGGGCUAGCGUUGCUCGGAAUCACUGGGCGUAAAGGGUGCGUAGGCGGGUCUUUAAGUCAGGGGUGAAAUCCUGGAGCUCAACUCCAGAACUGCCUUCGAUACUGGCGAUCUUGAGUCCGGAAGAGGUGAGUGGAACUCCUAGUGUAGAGGUGGAAUUCGUAGAUAUUAGGAAGAACACCAGUGGCGAAGGCGGCUCACUGGUCCGGUACUGACGCUGAGACGCGAAAGCGUGGGGAGCGAACAGG